GGCCCGAUGGCCGAGUGGUACCACAGGUAUCGGGUUCGAAUCCCGGCGGUGCCCAUGGAUGCUUGUAGUGGUUCGGAAUCCACUUUAAGCCG